CAAGCGGAUUCAUUCCACAUUUCCGAUGCUAUCAAAUCGAUCGCGUAUCGAGUAUCCUUAUCACCCUAGCUUAUAGUUCAUAUAAUGUGAUUAGCGCAUGUUUACAGUUGCCGGAAUUGAUUAUCUUCGAUAAGCCUUAAACGUAGACUUAUCGUGAAUCAUUUCAGAUACCAGGAUUCGCAAUGAGCCAAGGCUGAUAAUUUAUACUAUUUACAAUUCCCGGAUAUCGCGCUAAACGUCCUCCAUUUAUUUCCUGUCCGUCAACACCGUCUAUACUUUUGAAAAAUGUGAGCGUCAAUCUGUUUCACCGGUACGUUUCUCCUUUAUUUGCAGCCCUGAAAAAUCAAUCGACCUGAACGAACUAUUUGGAACGACAAAUUCCUUUCGCGCUGUCACAUGGUUCAUUCCGUGUUUCACGCGUCCCGAUAAUAUAUCUCUACUGCGGCUGUCGAUGACCCCCUUUCACGCUGUGUCUCGUACCUCCGUACCGUUAAUCGAUCAAUUUGCAAAGCGCACGUUUCGAUCGGCGCCUCAUGCCUCCUCAUGCCUUGUGCCGAGUAGCCGUGUAGCCGGGCACGUUGCCGGCUUUCCAGAUUGCACGACCUGAUCCGGCGCGGUGCGGCGUACGCGAACGAACGCGGAGCCCACUGAUUAUUACGUGUCCGCCUAAUAGCCCCGAGCGAGCGAGGGUUCGAUAUUGAUGACCCACUAGCACGGUUUAUUAUCCGCUACGAAGCGCAGCGGCGAUUAGUUCCUUUAGCGAGUCGACCAAAUGACGUUUCCACCGGCAGCUGCCAUAUGCAUCUUUCGCGCGCGCACGUAUGUACGUAUGUAUGUACGUGUGUACGUGUACGUCUGUAUAAGCGUGUGCAUCGGUGAGAUUUAUGUUUACUUGUGUGAGAUAAGCAUUUUACAGACUGGUGGAGCGAUAGAGCACCGUAACACCGGAGAUAUGGACAAUGGACACGAAGGAGUUUUAAGAGUUACGCGUAAAGUAAUUCGUUUCAGGGAUGAUAAUAAUAUGAGAAUAACGAAAGAAAUAGCCGGACGAAUUUAAUUGGAUAAAUUGGUAUAAUAUCCGCGUUUGGGGAAACGUUUGAGUUUUCUCGCGAAUAUAUCCUGAUGACAACUUGCGUGGAGAGACGUGGGUUUCAAGAUUCUCGUGCGUAUCCGCUUCCGUUUUUAACCGACACCAACGUCGAAUUAUAUCUAUGCGUAGCACGCGAAGCAACCGCCAUGUUAUUUUUAGUUACGCGAGAGCAAUUAGUAUUUAAGCGAAAAGCGCAAUCGGCGAAGCGAACGCCAGAGAUAAGACGAAAUUAUUACGGUUCGAAUUAACUCCACACUCUGCGAGAUACACGUAAACGCGCAAUGCGUUGCGUCGAGGGAUCGCCAGGAAGUGACUCUGAAACGUGCUAAGCGCUUUAAUAUAACGAGCGUCGAACUGUCGCCAUUGAACUGUUCUCCACUCAGGUUCGUUUGCCCUUUACACAUCGCCUUACACGCGUUCGCGCGUACAGGAGCCUUGACCCAACACCCGGGAAUGGAUGGGUCUCGAAUGGAGCGCGCAUGUUGGUUCACGAUCCGGGAUUAUACGUCGCGUCGCGUUAUUGUGAGCGAAUAAGAAUUCACUUGCGAAUUCAUUUGCGAGCGUAACCGUUAUGCCAUUCUUUAGAAAAAGCCAGCCUGGACCUCCUCGCCAUGCAUCAUUCCGGACAGGUGACAUAUUUGCCUCCGACGUAGGAGAAUACGAACGUGCAGUUUAAGCCGAUUAAGAUUAACGGUGUUAAGAUUAGCGAUUGUCUCUAAGAUUCAAGUUUUACGUAAGAUAAAAAAAGUGUAGACAGAAAGAAAUUGUAUAAAUGGUACAUCCGUCCAUUUUCAUUUAUGCUGAUGUAGACCGCGGUAAAGUUAUAAUCUGCAAUUCUAAUAAUGCUCUGAUCACGCGGAAAAUCGAGGUCUCCUGUACGUGUCAGUAAUGCGUACGAGAUUAUCGCAGUGAGUUGAAUUCAGUUAUCAAUUCAUAUACUUCUGGAAUUAUUCAUCCGGAAACGUAUGACGAUCAUUCCCCGAUAUGUUAGUAUUCGCGAUACGUUUAGCUAUUGCGGAGAGUUAAUUUCAAGCUACGUUCAGUCUACGUGAUACUUCCUGCAGAGCCAGAUGGACGAGCACCUGCAUAGAAACGGGUAGUCAACCUGGGAGAUACAACCUGUUCGAGCACCCCGUGGUCUUCCAGGCGCUUCUUUUUACGGUUAUUGGUCCCAUUUCUCUGUUUGCUUCAAGCACGUAAGAAUAACCAAUGAUGAUAGGAGGUACCUACCGUAAGAGCACGUGUAAGAAAGUGAUCCCCUCGUCUUUGUUAGCGGAAUUAAAAAUACGAAUACACACGAGGUAGUACCCAGGAAUCUCAAAUUCUGCCGCGAAUAAAGAGAGAGACAUGUACUCGUAAUUUCUUUAAUAAGACAGGAUAUCUCUUCUUCAUGGUAUAACAAGAUGCAACAAGAAGUAAACGUGGUGAUUUCCUUCCGUCGAGUAGUCUUUUUGAGCAAGAGUUCGAAUCGCCACGAUCACGCUACAUACGUAAGGUACGGGUAAAACGCGGCUUCGACUUCUUUCCAGCUCGAAAGAUCGAAAGAGAAGACCAUGCGAAUCCACACACGACGCAUUCGGUUCGCACGUAUCGGUCUGUUUGUACGAGAAUAGUGGAUGGAGAUGGAAGGAGCGUGCGAGCUAAACGGAGUCUUGGUCAGGGCCGUUGGCAGCUCGGGGUCAACGGCCAGGCGGCGCCUGCGAGAUCCUCCGUCGCUCGAACGCGAGAUAGUGGGGCAGGUCGCGCUUACAACGACGUCAGGGGAAAAGGAAAACGAAGAUAUCAUCUCAUAAAGAUACGACUUCGUUAGAUGAUACGUCAGCAUCGACUCGUAGUAAAAUGUUAAAAAUCCUAUUUGCAAGUGUCAUGGAAGAGUAAAAAAAACGCACGGAUUAAAGAUUCUUGUCUCUCUUACUUCGUGUAACGUCACGAAUCUCAUCGCGACAAGAUAAAAACCGAUCCUGGUUGGCGUUGUGAUCGAAGCGACGUCGAUGACAAUGAUGAAGAGAAGCAAGCCGGUCACGUCGCGGUGCCUCACGUGAAGGUAGGGCAAUUCCGAGAAACCAAGAUACCAAUGAUCGAGCAGCGCAUCACUACGUGAAGGUCGCUCGAUAUAACAUGACGGAAUUGCAGAGAAUCAUUCGGGGCAGUCGGCCAGUAAAACCGAGUAUACGGCGAUCGGACGCAAAUGAGAUUUUCUAAAGACAUUAUACGACCGUAACAAACGUAAUGACCAAAGUAAAUUGUAAAGUACAUUAAUAAAUGUACGGUAGUGAAAAAGCAAGGAAAGGUGGCUAAGAUGUAAAUAUAUCAAUAAGAUGAAUGGGGAUAUAAUAUUAUAAAAGGGAGCAGUUUUAAAGUAUAAAUACAAAGUAUUAAUCAAAGAAUAUCAAAGAACGAGUGAGAUCAAAUUUGUAUACAAUGUUGUAAUAAUAAAAACAAAUCGUUAAUGGUUAAAAAAAAGUCUAAUGAUAAAAAU
rnacentral:lncRNA from 1 species